UACAGAGGGUGCAAGCGUUGUUCGGAAUUAUUGGGCGUAAAGGGCGCGUAGGCGGUGCUGUAAGUCUGUAGUGAAAUCUCUGGGCUCAACUCAGAGUCUGCUAUAGAAACUGCAGUGCUGGAGUGUGGGAGAGGUGAGUGGAAUUCCCGGUGUAGCGGUGAAAUGCGUAGAUAUCGAGAGGAACACCUGUGGCGAAAGCGGCUCACUGGACCACAACUGACGCUGAUGCGCGAAAGCUAGGGGAGCAAACAGG
rnacentral:rRNA from 1 species